UACGGAGGGUGCAAGCGUUAAUCGGAAUUACUGGGCGUAAAGGGCAUGUAGGCGGACAAUUAAGUCGGAUGUGAAAUCCCCGGGCUCAACCUGGGAACUGCAUUCGAAACUGGUUGUCUGGAGUACUGUAGAGGGGGGUAGAAUUCCACGUGUAGCGGUGAAAUGCGUAGAGAUGUGGAGGAAUACCGGUGGCGAAGGCGGCCCCCUGGACAGAUACUGACGCUCAAAUGCGAAAGCGUGGGGAGCAAACAGG
rnacentral:rRNA from 1 species